rnacentral:rRNA from 1 species
GACGAACGCUGGCGGCGUGCUUAACACAUGCAAGUCGAACGGACAGACAGAGAGCUUGCUCUCUUGAAGUUAGUGGCGAACGGGUGAGUAACGCGUAAUCAACCUGCCCUUCAGAGGGGGAUAACAACGGGAAACCGUUGCUAAUACCGCGUACGAUUCAUGAACGGCAUCGUUUAUGAAUGAAAGGUGGCCUCUAUGUAUAAGCUAUCGCUGAAGGAGGGGAUUGCGUCUGAUUAGCUAGUUGGAGGGGUAACGGCCCACCAAGGCAAUGAUCAGUAGCCGGUGUGAGAGGAUGAACGGCCACAUUGGGACUGAGACACGGCCCAAACUCCUACGGGAGGCAGCAGUGGGGAAUCUUCCGCAAUGGACGAAAGUCUGACGGAGCAACGCCGCGUGAGUGAUGAAGGUCUUCGGAUUGUAAAGCUCUGUUAAUCGGGACGAAAGGGUUCUGCGUGAAUAAUGCAGAAAAGUGACGGUACCGGAAUAGAAAGCCACGGCUAACUACGUGCCAGCCGCCGCGGUAA